CUGAACUUGUUCCACUUUAGCUGUUCUUGCUGCGAAGAUGUUUUCUCAAAUGAUUUGGCUUCACAAAUUUAAUCUAGCUCCAUGAUAUAGAAAUCUAUAUAUUUUUCACGUGGAGCAAAGAAUACUGUAUUGAAUUCUCAAGCAUUUCUUGGCAUUCUCGACCGAUACAAAACGAAUGAACGAAAAAAUUUGGAGUCUGAGAGCUUGUACAACUUUUGGUAUUUUAUCAAGUCUAAUAUGGAACGUUAAAUUGUUUUAUUGCUAAUAAAACAAGGCCAGUACAUCCGCAGGAUGGAGAUUAUUGUGAUAUCCCGUAUUAUCUACAAUCAUUUCGUGGAAACGAAUUGGAAACUUAAAGAAUUGCAUGAAUUCUCAAGCCUGUGUUUUUGCAUGUAUUUGUCUUUGAUAUUGCUAUUAAUAUUUAAUUUUAAAGCUUAAAUGUGCUAUAAUCUGGUUUCUUGCAACAUGAUUUUAAAAUGAUAGUUCUUUGAGACAUCGCGUACUAGAGCAUUCCUAGAUAUGUUUGGAUUUCAUAAAGACCUCAAUUUGGUUGAUUUAGAAGAUCUCAACUUUAAGAUUUUC